rnacentral:pre_miRNA from 1 species
CCAUCCCUGUAGUUGCUGACAUUCCGUCUGUGCUCACCUGUCCGGUCGUUGUUCAAUGUCGAACGAUGUUCCCCUAUCGUGCGGGAAGCAAUAUAUAGGCCAAACCGGCCGUUGCCUUACGACCGGUUAGGUGAGUACAGACGGAAUGUCAGCAACUACAGGGAUGG